UACGGGGGGGGCAAGCGUUGUUCGGAAUUACUGGGCGUAAAGGGCGCGUAGGCGGCAGAUCAAGUCAGCUGUGAAAUCUCCGAGCUUAACUCGGAACGGUCAGCUGAUACUGUUUUGCUAGAGUACAGAAGGGGCAAUCGGAAUUCUUGGUGUAGCGGUGAAAUGCGUAGAUAUCAAGAGGAACACCUGAGGUGAAGACGGGUUGCUGGGCUGAUACUGACGCUGAGGCGCGAAAGCUAGGGUAGCAAACGGG
rnacentral:rRNA from 1 species